rnacentral:rRNA from 1 species
AGUGAACGCUGGCGGUAUGCCUAACACAUGCAAGUCGAACGGCAGCACAGUAAGAUCUUGCUCUUACUGUUGGCGAGUGGCGGACGGGUGAGGAAUACAUCGGAUUCUACUUUUUCGUGGGGGAUAACGUAGAGAAACUGACGCUAAUACCUCAUAUGAUCUACGGGUUGAUUCAGGAGAUCUUCAGGCCUUUCGCGAUUGUAUUAGCCGAUUUCGGAUUAGCUAGGUGGCUUGGUAAAGUCCCACCAAGGCGACGAUCCGUAGCCUGUCUGAGAUGAUGGUCGGCCACACCGGAACUUGGACACGGGCCAGACCCCUAAGGGAGGGAACAGUAGGGAAAUUUUCGAAAAGGGGGAAAGCCUGACUGAGCAACUCCGCGUGAGGGAAGAAGGUCUUCGGGUCUUAAAACUCUUUUUUUGGGGAAGAAAAAACGGGUAAUUAACUCCGCACUUUUUGACGGGACCCAAUAAGAAAACCACGGCUAACUUCGGG